rnacentral:rRNA from 1 species
UACAGAGGUCUCAAGCGUUGUUCGGAUUCAUUGGGCGUAAAGGGCGCGCAGGUGGCUCCGUAUGUCUGCCGUGAAAGCAUACAGCUCAACUGUAUUGUGUCGGUAGAAACUGCAGGACUUGAGGCUGGGAGGGGCUGGUGGAAUUCCCUGUGUAGCGGUGAAAUGCGUAGAGAUGGGGGAGAACACUCGUGGCGAAGGCGGCCAGCUAGACCAGUUCUGACACUGAGGCGCGACAGCGUGGGGAGCAAACAGG